rnacentral:rRNA from 1 species
UACGGAGGGUGCAAGCGUUAUUCGGAAUUACUAGGUGUAAAGGGUGCGUAGGUGGUUUUGUAAGUCUGAUGUGAAAUCCCAUGGCUCAACUGUGGAACUGCAUCAGAAACUAUAAGACUAGAGUAUGAGAAGGGAAAACGGAAUUCCUGGUGUAGCGGUGAAAUGUGUAGAUAUCAGGAGGAACACCGAUGGCGAAAGCGGUUUUCUGGCUCAAUACUGACGCUGAGGCACGAAAGCUAGGGGAU